CGGUACCUAACCAGAAAGCCACGGCUAACUACGUGCCAGCAGCCGCGGUAAUACGUAGGUGGCAGCGUUGUCCGGAUUUAUUGGGCGUAAAGCGCUCGCGGGCGGUCUUUUAAGUCUGAUGUGAAAGCCCACGGCUUAACCGUGGAGGGUCAUUGGAAACUGGAGGACUUGAGUGCAGAAGAGGAGAGUGGAAUUCCAUGUGUAGCGGUGAAAUGCGUAGAGAUAUGGAGGAACACCAGUGGCGAAGGCGACUCUCUGGUCUGUAACUGACGCUGAGGAGCGAAAGCGUGGGUAGCGAACAGGAUUAGAUACCCUGGUAGUCCACGCCGUAAACGAUGAGUGCUAGGUGUUAGGGGGUUUCCGCCCCUUAGUGCUGAAGUUAACGCAUUAAGCACUCCGCCUGGGGAGUACGGCCGCAAGGCUGAAACUCAAAAGAAUUGACGGGGACCCGCACAAGCGGUGGAGCAUGUGGUUUAAUUCGAAGCAACGCGAAGAACCUUACCAGGUCUUGACAUCCUUUCGACCUCCCUAGAGAUAGGGAUUUCCCUUCGGGGACGAAAGUGACAGGUGGUGCAUGGUUGUCGUCAGCUCGUGUCGUGAGAUGUUGGGUUAAGUCCCGCAACGAGCGCAACCCUUGAUCUUAGUUGCCAGCAUUAAGUUGGGCACUCUAAGGUGACUGCCGGUGACAAACCGGAGGAAGGUGGGGAUGACGUCAAAUCAUCAUGCCCCUUAUGACCUGGGCUACACACGUGCUACAAUGGAUGGUACAAAGGGCAGCGAAACCGCAAGGUCAAGCAAAUCCCAUAAAACCAUUCUCAGUUCGGAUUGUAGGCUGCAACUCGCCUACAUGAAGCCGGAAUCGCUAGUAAUCGCGGAUCAGCAUGCCGCGGUGAAUACGUUCCCGGGUCUUGUACACACCGCCCUCACACCACGAGAGUUGGUAACACCCGAAGUCGGUGAGGUAACCUUUUGGAGCCAGCCGCCGAAGGUGAACCAAAG
rnacentral:rRNA from 1 species